CUGGUUGAUCCUGCCGGAGGUUACUGCUAUCGGUGUUUGAUUAAGCCAUGCGAGUCAAAUGUUUUUCGUAAACAUGGCGCAAUGCUCAGUAACACGUGGAUAACCUGCCCUUUGGUCCGGCAUAACCUCGGGAAACUGAGGAUAAUUCCGGAUAACUCUUUUUGGCCGGAAAGCAUUAAGAGUAAAAGAACUUCGCCAAAGGAUGGGUCUGCGGCCUAUCAGGUAGUAGUGGGUGUAACGUACCCUCUAGCCGACAACGGGUACGGGUUGUGAGAGCAAGAGCCCGGAGAUGGAUUCUGAGACAUGAAUCCAGGCCCUACGGGGCGCAGCAGGCGCGAAAACUUUACAAUGCAGGAAACUGUGAUAAGGAAACACCGAGUGCUCACAUCAAAUGUGGGCUGUCCACAUGCUUAAAUCGCAUGUGUUAGCAAGGGCCGGGCAAUACCGGUGCCAGCCGCCGCGGUAAUACCGGUGGCCCGAGUGGUAGCCGCUUUUAUUUGGUCUAAAGGGUCCGUAGCCGGUUCGGGCAGUCUAUUGGUAAAUUCGAAUGCCCAACAUUCGAUCUUUCAGUGGAUACUUCCGGACUAGGAACCGGGAGAGGUAAGAGGUACUGUAGGGGUAGGAGUGAAAUCUUGUAAUCCCUAUGAGACCACCUGUGGCGAAGGCGUCUUACCGGAACGGGUUCGACGGUGAGGGACGAAAGCCGGGGGCACGAACCGGAUUAGAUACCCGGGUAGUCCCGGCCGUAAACAAUGCUCGCUAGGUGUCGGGUAUGGCGUGACCGUAUCCGGUGCCGUAGGGAAGCCGUGAAGCGAGCCACCUGGGGAAGUACGGCCGCAAGGCUGAAACUUAAAGGAAUUGGCGGGGGAGCACAACAACGGGUGGAGCCUGCGGUUUAAUUGGACUCAACGCCGGAAAACUCACCAGGGGAGACAGCAAUAUGUAGGUCAAGCUGAAGACUUUACCUGAAUCGCUGAGAGGAGGUGCAUGGUCGUCGCCAGUUCGUACUGUGAAGCAUCCUGUUAAGUCAGGCAACGAGCGAGAC
rnacentral:rRNA from 1 species